rnacentral:rRNA from 1 species
UACGGAGGGGGCUAGCGUUGUUCGGAAUUACUGGGCGUAAAGGGUGCGUAGGCGGCGUGUUAAGUCAGGCGUGAAAGCCCCGGGCUCAACCUGGGAACGGCGCUUGGGACUGGCAUGCUUGAGACCGGGAGGGGAUGGCGGAAUUCCCAGUGUAGAGGUGAAAUUCGUAGAUAUUGGGAAGAACACCGGUGGCGAAGGCGGCCAUCUGGACCGGGUCUGACGCUGAGGCACGAAAGCGUGGGGAGCAAACAGG